UACGUAGGGUGCAAGCGUUAAUCGGAAUUACUGGGCGUAAAGCGUGCGCAGGCGGUUGUGUAAGUCAGAUGUGAAAUCCCCGGGCUUAACCUGGGAACUGCAUUUGUGACUGCAUCGCUGGAGUGCGGCAGAGGGGGAUGGAAUUCCGCGUGUAGCAGUGAAAUGCGUAGAUAUGCGGAGGAACACCGAUGGCGAAGGCAAUCCCCUGGGCCUGCACUGACGCUCAUGCACGAAAGCGUGGGGAGCAAACAGG
rnacentral:rRNA from 1 species